GACGAACGCUGGCGGCGUGCUUAACACAUGCAAGUCGAACGGAAAGGCCCUGCUUUUGUGGGGUGCUCGAGUGGCGAACGGGUGAGUAACACGUGAGUAACCUGCCCUUGACUUUGGGAUAACUUCAGGAAACUGGGGCUAAUACCGGAUAGGAGCUCCCGCCGCAUGGUGGGGGUUGGAAAGUUUCGGCGGAUGGGGAUGGACUCGCGGCUUAUCAGCUUGUUGGUGGGGUAGUGGCUUACCAAGGCUUUGACGGGUAGCCGGCCUGAGAGGGUGACCGGCCACAUUGGGACUGAGAUACGGCCCAGACUCCUACGGGAGGCAGCAGUGGGGAAUAUUGCACAAUGGGCGGAAGCCUGAUGCAGCAACGCCGCGUGCGGGAUGACGGCCUUCGGGUUGGAAACCGCUUUCGCCUGUGACGAAGCGUGAGUGACGGUAAUGGGUAAAGAAGCACCGGCUAACUACGUG
rnacentral:rRNA from 1 species